AGUGAACGCUGGCGGCAGGCCUAACACAUGCAAGUCGAACGGCAGCACAGGAGAGCUUGCUCUCUGGGUGGCGAGUGGCGGACGGGUGAGGAAUACAUCGGAAUCUACCUUUUCGUGGGGGAUAACGUAGGGAAACUUACGCUAAUACCGCAUACGACCUUAGGGUGAAAGCGGAGGACCUUCGGGCUUCGCGCGGAUAGAUGAGCCGAUGUCGGAUUAGCUAGUUGGCGGGGUAAAGGCCCACCAAGGCGACGAUCCGUAGCUGGUCUGAGAGGAUGAUCAGCCACACUGGAACUGAGACACGGUCCAGACUCCUACGGGAGGCAGCAGUGGGGAAUAUUGGACAAUGGGCGCAAGCCUGAUCCAGCCAUGCCGCGUGGGUGAAGAAGGCCUUCGGGUUGUAAAGCCCUUUUGUUGGGAAAGAAAAGCAGUCGGUUAAUACCCGAUUGUUCUGACGGUACCCAAAGAAUAAGCACCGGCUAACUUCGUGCCAGCCGCCGCCGUAACAC
rnacentral:rRNA from 1 species